UCACCCUUGUGUGCUAUCUUAACGUUGGUCCCAUUGCAAGUAUUUUCGGCCGCCAACAGGCAAGCGUUACCGUAAGUUUUGCCAUCUGUUCCACACACAGGGUCAAACACACUCGGACACACAAUAUUGCAGUUGCCAUAUUCAGCUACGGAACGAUAGAAGAAAUAAUUACUCAAAGCAGCAGUUGAUAUAGUCAACAAUAGGAUAAGAAUAAGACUGUGACAUACUUCCAUUAACGCCUGGUUCGUUACUCAAAAGACCCAAUGCAAUGGCAACAAAGAGCAAGGCGAAGCUUAGACUUUUCUAAUGUGCAACACAGAAAGAGAAAAAUGUCUUAAAUAAACUCACACACAAAAAAAGAGGUGAUGAGAGACUUACCAUUCUUAAAAAGCUUUAAAUUUUGUCAAAAGCUGAAGCACAUUCGCCACUCGAAGUUUGAGAAAAUGUGCAGAACAAUUCAGCAAUUCAAAAGCUUUUAUAGUUGCGUUCAAAAUAAACCACUGCUAGACGAUGUGUUAAACCUCCAGCAACAUCCAUGAGUAAAUAGCUUUUAGGCAAUAAUAGUUGCCAAUCUUUUCGUUACACAAAGGUCAAAACAAAACAUUGCGUACGAUAUUUCGUAAAUUAAGAAAUGCACCGAGUUAAAGGCCUUGUUCAAUGUUCUCUUUAAAUAGUGCCACGUGUUCAUCGGUUUUGCAGGACAAAGGAAGUUUAUUGAUUCUUAUUUUUCAACAUGUCGUGAUGUGGUUUCGAUGAUUGACUAACCUUGACAAGAUUAAAGAUUUUUUUUUCCAAAAAGGUGAACGAUACAUCAAAAAGAAAAACGCCCCUCUUUUUUUUAUCCUGCGGCGCAGAGUAUUGAGUUAUUCCAGGUCACUGGGAACGUUGCCAAGCGCGUUUAAAAACCAAAGCAUUGGAUUCCGAAGAAGUUCAGCUAUUUUACGCUUUGGACUGCACACGUCCCUAUUUCCCUAAAGCCGUAGCAAUUGGGCUGUUCCGUGUCGACGACAUGCAAGACAUUUCCACUGGUCCUGAGAGCUAUUCCAUUCAGGAUAGAACCAGCUAUUUCGCAUUAAAUUUCCACAUCAAUGCUGCUGUUGGAAUCUAAAAACAAGAUAACCACCUUUCAUUCAGUUUCUUGGAAAAGAAGAUGCUGACCCUCUGCGUUCAUCAUACAAAAAUUCAUGAAUAGACAAUCAAACAUGAUUCAUAUAGAUAUAGAGCCAUAAAUUGCUACAAGUUUACCAUUCUUGGUUACAUUGGCAUGGCCUCUUGUCGGAUGUGAUAGACGGAGACGCAAAUGGAAUGCCAUUUCGAACAAUGCCGUGCAGAUUCGAUAUAUGCUAAUCGUAUACCCUCAGGCACGCUCUAUUGUUUAUAUUGUCCUUGUUCAAUUUUUCUGAUGCCACAUGCGUCGCAUUUUCGUCUCACGUUGCCAACGACAUGGACUGCAAAAAUUAAACGCGUUUUCUCUA